UCUACGGAUCGUUCAUUUUGCUCUUGACCUUCGUGUGGGUUGUGUCGUUGUGCAGUCGUCUGACGAAGAAAAAGGAAAUAAAGUGACUUGCAGCUCAUAAUGAAAACUUUCUAACUGUUUCUAAAGAUUGGGAAAUUUAUAUAUCUUUCUAGAAAAUGGAUGAUAAUAGGAACAACAAAUCCUGACCAUAAAAUAAAAAAAGAAGAAUGCAAGAUACAUAUGAAUGUGUUUAUUUGCCAGGAAAUAAGAUGAAGUUGGCCUUCAAUAGGAAAUCACAGUAUAACAUAAAAUGAUAUAGAGAAAUAUUUUAUGAUUUCCGGAUAUAUAUGCCAUGUUCAUUUUGGAUUUAUUCCCAAUGUUCUGUGAACAUUCCAAUUCAUUUCUUCAAGGACAGAAACACCCCUAAACACAGAAUAAAUCUGCUAUGAUGAAUAAUGUUAAAUCUUGUUGGAGUUUUCCAAAGUCUAAUCAGCAUCAAUUCACAAUUUGUGGCGACAUAAUCGACUGACUUGUGCAGAUGAAAUUUAAAGGUACAUGAAUGUGGCUCUAACAUGAACAUCGAGUACUUCUAUGUGAGAAAUAUAGAGGUAUAGACAUGGAAAAACCGUAAAGUAAUAAAAUAAAUAAAAUGUAAUAAACAAGAGGAAAUAAAUAGCGGAUGCUC
rnacentral:misc_RNA from 1 species